rnacentral:tRNA from 1 species
CCGUAGCUCAAUUGGAUAGAGCGUCUGACUACGGAUCAGGAGGCUGAGGGUUCGAGUCCUUCCGGG